CGCGAUGGAACUACAAAACCCCAAAAACACAAAGUUUUGGUCCUAAGCUUACUGUUGUUUUUGAUCAAAAUUACACAUGCAAGCAUCCGCACUCCAGUGAGAAUGCCCUGUCAAGCGCCAAGGAGCAGGUAUCAGGCACAACUAUUUAGCCCAUAACACCUUGCUACGCCACACCCACACGGGCACCCAGCAGUGAUAAAUAUUAAGCAAUGAGUGAAAGCUAACCUAAGCUCGACUUAGUUAUGAUCAUCAGGGCCGGUAAACCUCGUGCCAGCCACCGCGGUUAUACGAGAGGCCCAAAACAACAGACACCGGCGUAAAUUGUGGCUAGAGUACCUUCUUAUAACACUGAAAAAUGAACAAAAGCCUAAUCGUAAAACCUAGACCAAAAGAAACACAUAUUUUCAGCUAUAAAGCAACUUGAACCCACGAAAACUAAGAAACAAACUAGGAUUAGAUACCCUACUAUGCUUAGUUGUUAAUAUGACACCAAAAAACACCCCUGUCCGCCAGAGAAUUACACGCGAAAAGCUUAAAACUCAAAGGACUUGGCGGUGCUCCGCAUUCGUCUUAGAGGAGCCUGUCCUAUAAUCGAUAACCCACGCUUUACCUUACCACCUUUUGUCAAAACAGCCUAUAUACCGCCGUCGCAAACUUACCCCAUGAGGGUAGAGUAGUAAGUAAAAUAGUAACGCACUAACACGUCAGGUCAAGGUGUAGCUAAUAAGGUGGAAGAGAUGGGCUACAUUUUCUAAAACAGAAUACACGGAAAAUGACAUUGAAAUAAUGUCCUCAAAGGUGGAUUUAAUAGUAAGAUAAAAUAGAAAACUUAUCUAAAACCCGCUCCGGAGCGCGCACACACCGCCCGUCACCCUCCUUAAUUUACUAAAAACAAUUGAUAAAACAAUAAACCACAUAAAAAUGAGGC
rnacentral:ncRNA from 1 species